GGGCGAGAAAGUCGUGAAGAGGGUGGAAGAAGGAGGGGAUGGCGGGGAGCCGAAUGAGAGCGCUGAAGUCCUGGCCUCCCAAGUCAGACGGGCUUUUCUUUGGAGGAGGUGCGGUGUAAACCGUAGGAGAAGCGGGUGGGAAGGAGAUCAAGGAAAGUGGUCGCCCUCCCCAGGGUAAAGGGCUGGAGGAUACUGAAGGAAAACGCGUGGCGAAAGAAGAAGGGAAGGAGAAAGAAGUAAAAACGCUGUGAGUGGAGGUAAAAAAGGGCUUCCCAAAUCACCUGGAUGAGGAAACAGACCCAGGGGGCGCGAGAAAUGGAAGGAAACAGCAGGCCCUGACGCUUGUUCUCUUUAGAGGAGAAAACUGAGGCGCACAGAGAGGUUAAGUCAUCGAGUUGUUGUCUUUGUAGGGUAUUUUGAUCCAAUCACUUUGAUGCCGUCAUUUCAAUCCUAAGGAUCAUUUGGUUCUGCUGUGUCCUUGAGAACUUCAGAUAAGACACCUGAACAGGCCCUGUUCUGGGAGCUGAGGAGGGAGCAGUGUGAAUGUAGGGCCAUCCGCCAUGCAGCUUUGCUGGGAUUUUAUUUUUAAGCUAUGUCUCCACCCAACAUGGGGCUCAAACUCACAACUCCAAGAUCAAGAGCCCAUGCUCUACCAACUGAGCAAGCCCGGCUCCCCACAAACAGUGGAAAUCCUUCAUUUUGUUACUUUUGGAAGCCAGACUGAUGAUUCUUUGGAUACUGAGGCUGACUUUCCAGGACAGGGGGAGACUUCAAUCUAAGGAAUGAAGCCCGACUGUUGGUAUAUUAGGACUUGAGCCUUCCGGGAUCCCUCUGUGGUCACCGCACUGCCAAUCUUUCAAGUACCUCCCGGAGCUAAUGGAAGACAUGUCCCAGCUUGAAACAGCUGCACUUCAGAUAAUCGGCCUCUGGAUAUGGUACCCACAGCUUCUCUCUGUACAGACACCUCCCCUCGCCAUUACCCAGCUACCUAACACCAGGACACAGCUAAGGAUCAGAAUUUUUUUUAAUUGUCUCUGCAGUGUUAUCAUAGAUGUCGCUGAAGCUUGUGAGUUUCUUCCAUCCUCACUCCGAGCCCGUUUUUCCUUUGUGGGACUCACUUCGCCCUGCAGAGGUCGGGUGGAGAUUUAUUUUAAACUGAAGACAUUUGAGAUGCAGCAGAUGCCGAAAGAAGCCUUUUGGGGGCUCCUCUUAUCUGACCUACAGACAGAACCAUUUGGAGAGUGAAGUUGUCAUAAAUCCCCUUCCCAGGAAGCAGACCAGUCCCUCGGACCAGAAGAGAAAUUGCACAAACACUGUUGCAGUCAUCCUACCUUCCAUUUGUUUCCCUCAAAGUCCAUUUGUCUUCCCUAUAAAAGGCCCAUUUGUUCUUCCCAUAGAACUCCUUCCCCUUGUUAAGUUAGUAUAUAAACCCCUAUUUCUAGCUUUUCCGUGAGCCUGUUCAUCUGAAUGCUCC